AGGAAAAAAAAUAGCCCAGCCGCCGCACCACCCUGCCUCCUCGAUCCCAUCUCCACCUCCAGCCCGCCGCCACCUCCUGCCCCGCUCCGCUUCGCCGUGCGCCGCCCGCCGCCGCCACCUCCUGCUCCGCCCCGCCCCGCGACCCCUGCGGCCGCCACUUCCCGCCCCGCCCUGCCGCGCGCGGCCCCUCUUCUCCAUCUCUCCCUCGCCAUCUCCCUCCUCCCUCCCUGUUCCACCCCCACCUCUACUCCCAGCAGGCUCAACCAUGGUGGUCAACACGGGGACGUGAGCAUGCACGGGUGGCGUCGGUGGACGAGAUCAAAAUCGGUUGAUGAUGGAGCGCAAGUAGCACAAGUUAAUCAUGUGCACUUCCCAUUAUUGAAUAUCAGAUAUGCCAAACUAAAGGAGGCGGCUAGAGGAAGCAUUGGAGGCCAAGUUCAGCAGCAACGGUCAGCUGUCGUCGGUGGCCGGCCGGCGACAUUUGCGAAGGAAUGAGGGUGGCCGGAGACCGACAACAGGGGGCUGUCGAACUAGCCAAGCUACCAUCACUCCAUCAUCCCCGGAGAUCGUUCGGUGAUGUCCAAUGCAUCAUGUCAUGGACUGGAGCGCGGACUGCCCUGCGCAAGACAUUGGCAGGAAUUCCUGAUGACAGAGGAAAUUAUGGCAGACAUUCUUUAUGGUAUAUUAAAUCUUGGUUUGAUGGGUACUUUUCUGAAGAAACUAUUGAGUCCCAGAGGAAAAUGCCCUUAUGGAGCUUUUGAGCUUUUUGUACAGGGGAAAGUUAACAAACAACCGAGCCUGCUAUUCUGGUUGACAUCUUAAUGGAUGCCGAUAAAUUUGAGGUUCUCUCUUGCAUGAGGCAUUGUAGCCAGUUGCUCUCAAGCUUUCAUAUGACCACAGAAUCUGCGCUGCUCUACCUAGACUAUCCAUGAUUCACUUCGAUGGCAGUUGAAGUUCACCAUUUGAUAGUUGCAGCUAAGGAUUUCCUUGCCAACAAAUACAGUGAUAUGCAUAAGUUCCGAAAUGAAGUGAUGAACAUGCCACUUGCUGGGAUUGAAGCCAUAUUUUCAAGCACUGACCUACAUGUGAAAAAAUGAAGAUGUCUUGUACCGUCUGUUGCUCAACUGGGCCCGUGUGCAAUACCAGAAUUAGAAGAAAGACGUAAGAUCUUGAGUUCUCAUUUGGUUCCGCUGGUGCGCUUCAGUCAUAUGACUUGUGAGGCACUUCAGGAGAUUUUCACAUGCACUGACGAUGACAUAGACCAUGAGCAAAGCUUAUCACUAGGGUACUUAUGUGCAAAGCUUAUCCAGCACACUAACCAGGCCAGGUGCUCUUGCAGCAUGUGCAACCUCUUGUUUGCUAUAUGCAGAGCUAGCUUACAAGUACAGGCAUCUGAAAGUGGUUCUGUUUGAGACCGCAACGAGAUGGAGGCGGUGGUCUUGACACCCAUGCUGGAGACCAUCUGGUGGUACGAUUGCUAUCAAAUGCAGCUUGGUUUGUGUGUGCAUCUCCUAGCUUUUGUGUCCGCGUGUAGUGUUAUUGGUUAAUUAUGUUGUGUCCUUACUGAUCUCAAGUCUCAAUAGUAUGUGAAUGGGUGUAAUCAGAACAAACAUGUUUAUCUUAUUUGUGGUAGGAAAUGGUGUAUAUUUCUUUCGUCUUAGGAGCCAGGCUGAUGGGUCUGCUUGAAAUUCCUCGGGUGGAGAAAACACAACCUGAAGAGCUUUGCUUUUGAUCAAAUGGCUAUGACUGGAGCAUCAGAACAAGUAGCUGUUUAGAAAGGUGUCAAUGGAUUUACCGAGGAAACAGUCACGUUGUAGGUAAGUAAUAAAGUUUACUGAGGAAACAGUCAUGAUGUAAAUAAAUCGAUGUCCUACACAUAAAAAAAUACAGUGUCCCGAGGGAUUUCUUGGGUUUAA